rnacentral:rRNA from 1 species
UGCGUAGGUGGUCGGGUAAGUCUGAUGUGAAAUCUCUGGGCUCAACCCAGAAAUGGCAUUGGAUACUAUUCGGCUGGAGGGUUGGAGGGGGGACGUGGAAUUCUCGGUGUAGCAGUGAAAUGCGUAGAUAUCGAGAGGAACACCAGUGGCGAAGGCGAGUCCCUGGACAACUCCUGACACUAAGGCACGAAAGCUGGGAGCAAACA